CUCCGUCGCAGAGCAUCCUUCGCCGGUUCCUCCCCGACCCCCUAGCUCUGGCCGCCGACUCUAAGCCCCCUCCCCAAGCUCCCCGACCAACACCAUGGCUGAGCACACCCCGCCCCGCCGACCACCCUCCCCUGUGCCUGUGUGUCCCCAAGCAGCGCCGCCUCCCCACGCGGGGUUCUCCCGCGACCUAGAUCUACCGCCGUCCUCCACCAUCCCUCUUCCUCAGGCAGCCGCUUCAACCUCCUAGAGCUCGCCCCCCUGGAAGCACCUUCUCCACGAUGCUCCCCUACACACUAGGGUUAGCUAUCUUUUUUUUCUGAACUUAUCAAAUGAGGACUUGUGUUGUGACACCGAAACUGGAUUGUAGGAUGUGAUUGUGUUGAUGUAUUUUGCCUCGGUAUAGUUCUUUAUCUUUUUUAGUCUAAUAAUCUGAAAUCCUUUGAGUGCGUAUAAGGUGGAUGUGGCCAUGGAUGGGUGUUGCUCCAAGCAUUGCUCCUGCAAUAAGUGUACACUCUUCAAUUUGUAGGAGCCCUUGUGUCUUCUAUUAUUUGUUCAUUGCAUCACCCUCAGCUCAGUAUGCUUGAUAUUGACAAGUUGUAAUUUGUGACUACAACUUUGAUCUCUAUUAUUAUUUGUUCAUCGCAUCACCCCCAGCUCAGUAGGCAGACGGUGCACAUGAUUAACACUUGUCGGCAGUAUAUGUAUCACUAGCAAAUUGAUUGCCCUUGAUUCAGGAAUUAUAAUGCCUUGUUUGGUUAAACUUGUUAUUGCUUAUUCUUGGUACAGAUUGCCCGAGACAUUUAAUCUUCAUUCGGGGAGGAGCACACACCUUUUGCUUCAUGUAUUGAAGACUGAUGUUGAAUUUGUUUAUUUGUCAAAGGUUAGAUCAUGCUUUAUUUCGGCAACUGAUAAUCUGUUUAUAAUUUAGUACCAUGUGUGUUUAUGAUAUUGUGAGUAUCCUUCUAUGGAUAUUAUUGUAUUAAUUAAGUUAGUGAAUGUCAGGAUCAACCAACGUAGGUGAGUUAUGAAAUAAUCAAACAAAUCAUCAGUAAAUCUGUGGUAAAACCUUCCCCAUAAUGCACUUCUUAAAGUAUUGACACUUGCGGAUUAUUGAUUGUACCUUCUCAUUCUUAAUCACCAUAUAUAUUCGAUUGUCCUCUGGUUUUUUGAGUAAUGAAAAUUUAGGUGUACGAUCGCCCUCAACCAACAUACAUGAUGUUAACUAACAUGCCAUUUUAACAAAUGAUCGAACAACCAUAUCAAAAAUGUGAUACCAUGGAGAUAGGAUUUUGGAAUGCUAUGGUAUAUGAAUUGUCUUCUUGACAAAUGUUUCCUUGGCUGAACUUCUUUUUACUACUACUGAUCUACUAUCCCUAGGUUUGCAUGUCACAAUUCUUCUAACAUUGCUAUAUACAGUUUUAAACUAUAAGUUUGCUACAUUCUAAAAUUAAUUGAGAUAGAGUCAGAGCCAGGCCAGCUAUUUUGAAGGCAUGGCUUCAUAAGCUGUUAGUGUCUAUGGUGCACCUAUGUUCACUAGCUUCAACUAUUUAACCAUCUGCAAGGCAUGUCGUAUGUACUCCUUUCCCCCAAGAAAACUAAGAGAUUAUCAGAACUAUUUUCUCCCGCCAUUUGUGUGGUCAAGGAAAGAAUAUAGAUCACUGUAUCUAAAGUUAUAUAUUGUAUUUUCACAGAACAAGUUCAUGUUAUUCAUUAUUAUUAGUUAAACCCCAUAAUGUUGAUUUUGAAGAAUUCCCAUUACAGGCCACUAGCAAGAUAAUAUAUGUUUUGGUGAAGCCAGAAGGGGAAGAGGAGUAGGCUGUGAGCAAAGCUGGGUCAAAGAUGAUUGGGGGAAGGUUGAUGUUGAGCAAAAAAAUCAUAUGUGGACAACCUUAAAGGUAUACUUGAUGGCUGGUAUUAUAACAUGCCCUCUUAUCUAAUACAUUAUCCUUGCAACACAAAAAAUAUGUGUAUUAAUUGCUGCAGUUCUGCUCUGAUUUACAGUUUUUUGAAAAAUUAUUCUAUGAAUCAGAAACGAGAGCUCAAUUUUGAAUUUCCAAUCUGUUGCAGGUUUCUCAAAGAUGCACGAGUUGAUUGAGGUCUGGAAGAUCUGCAAGUUGCUGAAGUGAUGAUAUAUAUGUGUUGUUAGUUGAACUUGGGAGACAUUGGCAAGUUUCAUUCUGUCCAUUUUGGUGGUUUAUUUUGGCACAUUUAGCCACAGUAUACUCAUUUUGGUGUGGCGCAAUUUAUUUACGUAGAAAGAUAUGUACUGUGCCUUCUGUGGUACAAUGUCCUUAAUAUAUGAUCGUUUCAUGCAUGUACCUUGAAACAUAUGUAACCUACAUGUUAUGUAAUUUCGAGAGAAGCCCUACAUGCAACUUUGAGCGAAGUGUAUCUAUGAGCUGAAUGAUCUGUCGUGACUGCUUGAAACAUAGUGAUUUGAUAUUACCCAGAAUAGCUUAGGUUGCUUGUGAAACAACACGUCCUGGCAUAUUACCUGCCGGGUAAAUGUGUUUGUGCAGGCAGAAAAACUG
rnacentral:lncRNA from 1 species